rnacentral:tRNA from 1 species
UGAAGAUGUAGUUCAGUGACAGCAUGCUUGCCUACCAUGCAAUGAGCCCUGGGUUCAAUCCCCAGCACUGCAA